UACGAAGGGGGCUAGCGUUGCUCGGAAUCACUGGGCGUAAAGCGCACGUAGGCGGCUUCUUAAGUCAGGGGUGAAAUCCUGGAGCUCAACUCCAGAACUGCCUUUGAUACUGGCAUUCUCGAGUCCGGAAGAGGUGAGUGGAAUUCCGAGUGUAGGAGUGAAAUUCGUAGAUAUUCGCAAGAACACCAGUGGCGAAGGCGGCUCACUGGCCCGAUACUGACGCUGAGGCACGAAAGCGUGGGGAGCAAACAGG
rnacentral:rRNA from 1 species